rnacentral:lncRNA from 1 species
GCCCGGUCAGCCUCCGUGCUUCCUCUGCUUCCUCUGCUCUGGCUGGGCCCCACCAUCUGCACCCCGAGUCUGGGCUGUGGUGGAGUCUUAGCAGACGUGGCGCGACUGCGGCGUGUUUUUCUGUGCAAGGUUCGCUCUGUUCACUUCUGAUGUCCAGUGUUGCUUUUUCCAGUCAUUGGCCUAAUGAGCCCUCACUUCCCGUGGACUAACUUCUGGGUGCUUCCAGGCGGCCCACGGGGACACCCUCCUGCCGGGAGAGACAUCUGUGCACUGUUCCUUUCAGCCCUGUGCUGCCCCUGGAUGAUUUUAGUGACGGUGUCACCUGCUGCCUGGGAGGGCAGAGCCGAUCCCCUGGUGUGUCCCACAGGAGGCAUUGGGCUUCUCCUUCUCACCUUUAUUUCGACAGAGACACACUGAAUCCCCAAAGUAAGUUUUGCUGAAGGUGGAAAUCUGAUAAGGUGGCAAUAAACACUGAGACUAGGAUCAUGAAACUGAGCCCUCUUAUACUCAGUCCGGCUUCCCCAUCUUCGCUUUCAACCCAUGGGGCGGCCUUUCCUCUCGCUCUGCUCUCGAGGUCUGUUUCUGCAAGUGCAGACCUCGGCGUCCUGGGACAGGAGCUGCACCCACUCCGACCCUCAGCGCUGGUCCCUGCUGCCCGAGGGCCUCCUCUCUCCAGACCUGGAUCUCGGUGUAGCCGUGAGUUACAGGGGAAGAGACGCCUCAGGGGCCCAUCCCAGCCCGGCCAGGCCUGUCUGAGGGAUUUGCCAGGCGCCAGGCCUUCUCCGAGUGCUGGUGAUAAAAAUUUAUCUCGUUCAGAAAAGAUCAUUCUUCGGCUAAGAAAAGCCAGAUCUUGCUUGCUCCGGGCAUGGCUGGACACAAGUGACGUCGUCCGAUCCUCUCUCAUUUGACAGAGCUUCCUGUUCCGUAUCCGUCUCCAUCUCUGCCCCUCCCUCUUUUUCUUCUUUUUUCUCCUUUAUUUCCCCUUCUACUGAGUCCAUCUGCAUGGAAAAUGCCUCACAUUUUGACAAAAAUGACCACCAGCAAUUUUGGAUUUAUGUUAAAUGACAGCAAUCUCAACUCAGAGAGGAAGAUGUGAUGUCUUCCCAAUGGUCCUAGGAAGGUCCCAAAGGACACUGGAUGAGCCUGGCUCCCCACCCGGCACUGAGGGUAGAGCAUGGGAUUGCCCAGGCCGGGUGACUCCCACCCCUGUGGACAUGGCUGUGGUACUGUGGGUGGCCUGACAGCUCUUGUGUUUGUGGAGCAACAAGUUCAAGGAGAGCAGGGUUGCAGGAAGGGCAGUGGUAGGAAGAGGUGAAGUGACCCAUGUUGGCCAGUGUCACUGAGGCAGGGCCCGCAGGAGCGAAGUGUCCUUCGCCACAUGACGGACGCCACGGGGAAUUUUAGUCAGAGGAGAGAUGUGAUCCUUUGUCCUCUCCUUCAAAGCCUGCCCUGGCCGGUGUGGGUGAGGCGUGGGGAGUCACAGAACACAAGAGGUGGAAGUCUCCAUUUCUAAGAACGAAUGGGUCUCUCCCUUGGCCCGCGUUCUGCUCGAGACUCAUGUGGGUGUCCACUGCGGCCUCACACAGGGCUCCUAGCAGCAGUGCUCAUACCAGCCAAGCACAGGAACAACUCGAACGCCCACCAGCUGCUGGCUGGAGACCAAGCUGUGUUCAUCCUCCAGCAACGCCUGUACAGCACAAGAGGGAAGACUCAGCAGUAACAAUGCUGGCGCCACACGAGGGUCACAUCAGCACAACAUGAAGGAGCCUGGGCGUGCAGGACCACAGCUGUGAGACCGACUCCAUCUGUGGCAUCCGGAGAGCGCAGAGCUGUGGGUGGAGACAGAAGGGUAAACACUAAGGGAGGAGCCCCACCCACCAGGCCUGGAGAAGAUGAGCUUCUGCCGCAGAAGUCGGCCCAGCCAUCGUCCUGGAAGAAAGCUGCCUGCUGAAACCGCUGCCUCUGAGGUGGGGAAAGCUCAGUGUGCUCCCUAGCAAUGUGGGCUUCAGAUCUCCAGGGCCAUGGGGUAGAAGCCCUCAGAGUCCUCUUGUCUGGAAUCUGCAGGAGUCUCAAGCUGGGUCUUUCAGCAUCGGCUGCCCCUGGGUCCCUCCAGGGAAGACAGGCUCC